rnacentral:rRNA from 1 species
AAACUUGAGAGUUUGAUCAUGGCUCAGAAUGAACGCUGGCGGCACGCUUAACACAUGCAAGUCGAACGAGAUCUUCGGAUCUAGUGGCAGACGGGUGCGUAACGCGUGGGAACCUGCCCUUUAGUAAGGAAUAACUCAGGGAAACUUGUGCUAAUACCUUAUAAUCCCUUCGGGGGAAAGCUUUAUGCGCUAAUGGAUGGGCCCGCGUUAGAUUAGCUUGUUGGUGAGGUAAUGGCUCACCAAGGCGACGAUCUAUAGCUGGUCUGAGAGGAUGAUCAGCCACACUGGGACUGAGACACGGCCCAGACUCCUACGGGAGGCAGCAGUGGGGAAUAUUGGACAAUGGGGGCAACCCUGAUCCAGCGAUGCCGCGUGAGUGAUGAAGGCCCUAGGGUUGUAAAACUCUUUCGCCAGGGAAGAUAAUGACGGUACCUGGUAAAGAAGAUCCGGCUAACUCCGUGCCAGCAGCCGCGGUAAUACGGAGGGAUCUAGCGUUAUUCGGAAUAACUGGGCGUAAAGCGAGCGUAGGCGGAUUUGUAAGUUGGAGGUGAAAUCCCAGGGCUUAACCCUGGAACUGCCUUCAAAACUACAUUUCUUGAGUUUGGUAGAGGAGAGUGGAAUUCCUAGUGUAGAGGUGAAAUUCGUAGAUAUUAGGAGGAACACCAGUGGCGAAGGCGACUCUCUGGGCCAAUACUGACGCUGAGGUUCGAAAGCGUGGGGAGCGAACGGGAUUAGAUACCCCGGUAGUCCACGCAGUAAACGAUGAGUGCUAGAUGUUGGGAACAUUAGUUUUCAGUAUCGCAGCUAACGCGUUAAGCACUCCGCCUGGGAAGUACGGCCGCAAGGCUAAAACUC